UUAUUCUUUUAAAGUUGUUCU
rnacentral:piRNA from 1 species